AUGCCAAGCCACAAAUUCGCCUGCCCCAAGGAAGUUCUUCAUGCCCGGAUCAGCGAUGUUCGUCAGGUGGUCACCAUCGAGUCGAUUCGUCAGUUGUUCCAUCGCUCCGGUGAUGGAUAUGUGAUCUGCGUGUACGAGCGGGUGGUGGACGGGAUGUAUGGCGUGGAGGCAUACGUCGAGUUCCGGUCUCAAUGGAGGGCGACCCGAGAUCGAGCUGCCUUGGAUGGCCAUGCUAUCUAUGAUGGCUGCUGCAUCCUUGUCGUCGACCUCGUCCCGACGGUCUACACCACCAUCACCAUGCCGGAUGAUGACGAGAUGGCACCCUCGUACUUCUAUGACGACACUCCCUACGCGGAGUGGACUGUGGCGUUGGCCGCAGCUGAGUGCCAUGAUGAGGUGCCCGCUACAUCCACCGACAGCCUCCAACUCGAGGCGUCCGUGGGCGCCAUCAGCGCGAGUCUGUCCGAGCUCGCCGCGCCUGCAGCACAAACUCUAUCCGCGACCACCGACAUUGCUGUCCUGGAGCUCAGCGGGAGUGACAAGGUGCUUGAAGUUGACACCAACACCGCCGCUCCGACGCCCACCACCUGUUCGACAGGUUGCCCAAGAUGCGACACGCCCGAGGAGUCGGCACUCACUUCGUCCACGAUACUACCUUCAUCCAUGAUCGUCGGCGACAUCGCUCCUGAGCUUGCUGCACAUGUAUGUGGCCUCUAUCAUAUUACUGACAGAGACGACCCAAUGGUGUCGUUCCUAGUUCCCUGGACUGCACCUACAUCCUUCACAAUGCCACAUGAAGCCUCGCCAAUGCCUCUGCGUUGGUCGUUCCAUGUCUUUGAUAUGGAUAACUUUGCAGUUAGUAAGUGUUCAACUGAUUGCUUCAACUACAACACCAGCGAAGCCGUAGCUUCAGUUAUUGAGCAAAAGAUAUCUUCCAGUUCAGUACUGCAAUUGCCUUUUAGUGGAUCUGCACCCAAUUUUAUUAUGGCGAUUUUUUCCGAGUGUGGCAGUUUGCUGAAGUGUGGAUGGAGAGGACAAUUUGGCUUGCAAGAUAUUCUUGUACAGAUUACCAUUCCCCAUGCUGAUGCUGCUAUUUUUGGGAAACAUCUAACCAUGGGGGACAAGAUAUUGGAGGGAGUGGACAUGUCAUUCACUGGUAAGAUUACAAUCAACUACAGAUUCUUCACAAGUCGAACGAGUGGAAGGGCUUCCAAGUGGUUCUACGACCAAAAUUCUUCUAGACAUAUUCUCAGAGGUUAUGAGCUCUUGGAGUUAUUCUAUAUUAGGUGCAAAACCUGGAAUGUUGAUGAGCUAUUGAACUUCACGGAAGUGAACAAUUUCCUUGCGUCAUUGCUUGGUGGAGUUUCUGCACUACUAGCUCCAUGUAUUGAGGUCAGAAGCUCAGUUGUCCGUACCAUUUCUCUAUUGCACUUGCUUGGGACCCUGGUGGUCUUACUCAUUGUCGGCCUGGGAUCAAGCCAAACUUCAUGGGGAUCGUUCAGUGGGUGCGAGGAUGGUGGAUUUUUGUUGCGCUGA
rnacentral:rRNA from 1 species